CAGGAAGAGAAGGAAACGGAUGAUCCGCUGUGGUGACCCCUAACGGGAGCAGCCGAAAGUAGAAGAAGAAAAUGAAGUAACAGAUCUCUAACUGGUCUCAUCUAGUCAGACUGGUCUGUGUGCUGAGAUAUUACAGGUCCAGCAAAGCAGACACGCCGGGCCCAUCAUGCAGACAUAGCCACUGAAAAAAGAAAAAAGGGAUUUGGAAGCUUUUUGAGCGGCUGUGGUGCUGUGUGCCGGCUUGCUGCAGGAGAAGAGCUGCAGGAG